AGAGUUUGAUCAUGGCUCAGAUUGAACGCUGGCGGCAGGCCUAACACAUGCAAGUCGAGCGGAUGAAGAGAGCUUGCUCUCUGAUUCAGCGGCGGACGGGUGAGUAAUGCCUAGGAAUCUGCCUGAUAGUGGGGGACAACGUUUCGAAAGGAACGCUAAUACCGCAUACGUCCUACGGGAGAAAGCAGGGGACCUUCGGGCCUUGCGCUAUCAGAUGAGCCUAGGUCGGAUUAGCUAGUUGGUGAGGUAAUGGCUCACCAAGGCGACGAUCCGUAACUGGUCUGAGAGGAUGAUCAGUCACACUGGAACUGAGACACGGUCCAGACUCCUACGGGAGGCAGCAGUGGGGAAUAUUGGACAAUGGGCGAAAGCCUGAUCCAGCCAUGCCGCGUGUGUGAAGAAGGUCUUCGGAUUGUAAAGCACUUUAAGUUGGGAGGAAGGGCAUUAACCUAAUACGUUAGUGUUUUGACGUUACCGACAGAAUAAGCACCGGCUAACUUCGUGCCAGCGGCCGCGGUAAUACGAAGGGUGCAAGCGUUAAUCGGAAUUACUGGGCGUAAAGCGCGCGUAGGUGGUUUGUUAAGUUGAAUGUGAAAGCCCCGGGCUCAACCUGGGAACUGCAUCCAAAACUGGCAAGCUAGANNNNGGCAGAGGGUGGUGGAAUUUCCUGUGUAGCGGUGAAAUGCGUAGAUAUAGGAAGGAACACCAGUGGCGAAGGCGACCACCUGGGCUAAUACUGACACUGAGGUGCGAAAGCGUGGGGAGCAAACAGGAUUAGAUACCCUGGUAGUCCACGCCGUAAACGAUGUCNACUAGCCGUUGGGAUCCUUGAGAUCUUAGUGGCGCAGCUAACGCAUUAAGUCGACCGCCUGGGGAGUACGGCCGCAAGGUUAAACUCAAAUGAAUUGACGGGGGCCCGCACAAGCGGUGGANCAUGUGGNUUNAUUCGAAGCAACGCGAAGAACCUUACCAGGCCUUGACAUGCAGAGAACUUUCCAGANAUGG
rnacentral:rRNA from 1 species